GACGAACGCUGGCGGCGUGCUUAACACAUGCAAGUCGAACGGAAAGGCCCUGCUUGCAGGGUGUUCUCGUGUCGAACGGGUGAGUAACACGUGGGUGUUCUGCCCCUUACUCUUGGAUAUGCCUGCAGAACUCUGUCUAUUAUUCCGUAUAACCAUGCUGUCGGCGUGGUGGUGGUAGGAUUGUUUUCGGUGGGGGGGGAGCUCUCGGCGGAUCAGCUUUUUGGUGGGGUAUUGGCCGACCAAGGAGGCGACGGGGAGCCGGCCUGAGAGGGUGGACGGCCACAUUGGGAGUGAGGUGAGGCGCAGACGACUACGGGGGGAAGCAGUAGGGAGUAAUGCAGAACGGGGGGAAGCCGGAUGCAGCGGCGCCGCGUGGGGGAGGACGGCCGUCGGGUUGUAAAAUACUGCCAGCGAUGACGAAGCACUGGUGGUGACGGUAGUGGUAGAAGAAGCACCGGCUAACUACGUG
rnacentral:rRNA from 1 species